ensembl:lncRNA
GAUGUACACUGAAAAAAAGGGACUGGCCAUCUCUUGGAUUUAUGUAAGCAUCUUGCAUGUAUUUAACACAAUUACCUCAUGUUUUAAAGAUAAAUGUAACUAUAUAGUGUAAAAACUACAUGAUAUGCAGAAAGGGUGUAUUAAAUUGUUCAUAUCAUGUUCAGGUGAAGUAAGUCAAUAAGAUAGCAACGUUAAAUCUCGUGAAACCACGCGUGAUUUCAUCUCGCGGGCUUUGGAUCGUGGUUCAAAAAAGGCAUCCAUCUCAGUCAAGUCGAGCAGCCAACUCUACGUUUUUGGUAUGUCUUGAUUUUUUGAAUUAAUAUUUACCAUAUUUCAGCCAAAUGUAGUUAAACGUCUAGAGUGUCGCCAUGUAACAUGCUAAAAAAGAGCCAUUAGCUUAUUUGCUGUUUUAUCUGUUGUCAAAGAAUUGGCGCUUUUUCAUUUGAAUUUGUCUUUGGCACAAGAGCCGUAAUAUCACAUUAAACCUAAUUAUGAGGCACUCAUAACAUAAUUUGGUUUUCUGUGUGAAUAGAUUUGCCAACUGACUCUUCAGUUACAUUGUGUAUUUACUGCACCGUGGUGUUAGUGAGAUUUUGGACAUUGAACAGCUUUAGCUAAUAUCAUUAGCGGCAUUAUGCUAGCUUACAUCCCUACCCCUCCUGCCCUCACCUGCUGUCCUUUUCUUUUUGUUUUUUUUGCUGCACAUUGAGAGACCACAUCUAUUCUGCAUUUCACCAGGAGUCAGCUGAUGGAUUGUGGGUUCAAGGUGUUAUGAUAAAAUGCAGCAUUCCAGUGCAUCCCAACCAUGCCUUUACAGUCAAGGUUUCUGACGGAGCUGAGUUUCUCUCUGACAGUCUGCUGAAAGUGUUUGCAAAGUGAUCGGGGGAACAGUGCACAAAGCUAAAGGAUGUAGCUGCCAUGAUGACAGAUGACAUUAAUGCUCAAAGGGGGUC